rnacentral:rRNA from 1 species
UGGGGAAUCUUGGACAAUGGGCGCAAGCCUGAUCCAGCCAUGCCGCGUGAGUGAAGAAGGCCUUCGGGUUGUAAAGCUCUUUUACCAGGGACGAUAAUGACGGUACCUGGAGAAUAAGCCCCGGCAAACUUCGUGCCAGCAGCCGCGGUAAUACGAAGGGGGCUAGCGUUGUUCGGAAUUACUGGGCGUAAAGCGCACGUAGGCGGAAGGGUAAGUACCUUGUGAAAUCCCACGGCUUAACCGUGGAACGGCUUGGUAUACUGCUUUUCUUGAGCAAUCUAGGGGCGAGUGGAACAGAUGGUGGAGCGGUGAAAUGCGUAGAUAUCAUCUGGAACGCCAAUGGUGAAGACAACUCGCUGGGGAUUUGCUGACGCUGAGACACGAAAGCCAGGGGAGCGAACGGGAUUAGAUACCCCAGUAGUCCCUGAGCGGGCUGGCAAGGCGCAU